rnacentral:misc_RNA from 1 species
AGCAGCCGCGGUAAUUCCAGCUCCAAUAGCGUAUAUUAAAGUUGUUGCAGUUAAAAAGCUCGUAGUUGAAUUUCGGGAUCAAUCUAUCGGUCGUGCAAUAGUACGUACUGAUUUUAUUGAUUCCUCCCUUCUGAUGAACUAUGAUGUCAUUAAUUUGGUGUCAUAGGGAAUCAGGACUGUUACUUUGAAAAAUUAGAGUGUUUAGAGCAGGCUCACGCUUGAAUACAUUAGCAUGGAAUAACGAAAUAGGACGUUUGAUUCUAUUUUGUUGGUUUCUAGGAUCGACGUAAUGAUUAAUAGGGAUAGUUGGGGGCAUUAGUAUUCAAUUGUCAGAGGUGAAAUUCUUGGAUUUAUUGAAGACUAACUACUGCGAAAGCAUUUGCCAAGGAUGUUUUCAUUAAUCAAGAACGAAAGUUAGGGGAUCGAAGACGAUCAGAUACCGUCGUAGUCUUAACCAUAAACUAUGCCGACUAGGGAUCGGAUGAUGUUAAUUUUUAAUGACU